CACAUACUCCCUCCGUCCCAAAAUUCUUGUCUUACAUUUGUCUAAAUACAGAAGUAUCAAGUCACAUUUUAGUAUUAGAUACAUCCGUAUUUAGAUAAAUCUAAGACAAAAAUUUUGGGACGGAGGGAGUACUAC
rnacentral:pre_miRNA from 1 species